UACAGAGGUCUCAAGCGUUGUUCGGAUUCAUUGGGCGUAAAGGGUGCGUAGGCGGCGCGGUAAGUCGGGUGUGAAAUCUCGGAGCUUAACUCCGAAACUGCAUUCGAUACUGCCGUGCUUGAGGACUGGAGAGGAGACUGGAAUUUACGAUGUAGCGGUGAAAUGCGUAGAUAUCGUAAGGAAGACCAGUGGCGAAGGCGGGUCUCUGGACAGUUCCUGACGCUGAGGGCACGAAGC
rnacentral:rRNA from 1 species